UACGUAGGUGGCAAGCGUUGUCCGGAUUUACUGGGCGUAAAGAGCGCGCAGGCGGUCGUCCAAGUCGCGUGUGAAAGCCCCCGGCUCAACUGGGGAGGGUCACGCGAUACUGGUCGACUCGAAGGCAGGAGAGGGUAGUGGAAUUCCCGGUGUAGUGGUGAAAUGCGUAGAUAUCUGGAGGAACACCGGUGGCGAAGGCGGCAUCCUGGACCGACACUGACGCUGAGGAGCGAAAGCCAGGGGGGCAAACGGG
rnacentral:rRNA from 1 species